rnacentral:lncRNA from 1 species
CUCAAAUUAUUCACCAAAUUCUCCUGUUAUUUCUUUACUUUCUUAUUUACGUAUCAACGCGUUUUUGUACACAAUACAUGAUCGGAAAGUGGAAAAUAAAGAGAACAAAUUUUUGAAUUGGUUGAAGGGCAAUUGGUCUUUGCAUUUUUAGAAGAUGUAAUCAGGAUUGGUUGUACACGAAACAACAUUCCACUGUUUACUAUCCCAAACCUAUCCAUUCCUGCAAAAACCAGAAAACAUUGUACCAAUAUCUACAUUCAUUCAGUUGAGGCACAAAUCAAUAGUUUGAACCAAAUUCUAGUGGGUAUUGGAAUUUUGGUUGAAAUGUUUUUGAAUAGAUCAAAAUUAUGUAUUGGGAAAAAAAGUCACCGCAUUUGCAUAUAGAGACUUGUCGCUCACUUGGCGCUCGAGCGAUAGGAUUAUCCGACCCAAGCUCAUAUCACGUUUUAACGUGUUUUUGAACUUCUAUUCAUUUACAACUUGAUUUUUAGAAUUUUAUAUAUAUAACUCAUGACUUGUAUUAUUCUCAUAACAUUGAUAUAUCUUGAGAGUUUUAGAUCUUAACUGAGAAUAUUGAAAUCUUAC